rnacentral:tRNA from 1 species
AAAACUUAAAAAAGAAUAUUUAUUCUAUUAAUUU